rnacentral:rRNA from 1 species
GUUAGGAAUAUUGGACAAUGGGCGCAAGCCUGAUCCAGCCAAGCCGCGUGAACGAUGAAGGCCUUCGGGUUGUAAAGUUCUUUAGCCGAUGAUUAUAAUGACUGUAGUCGGAAAAUAAGCCCCGGCUAACUUCGUGCCAGCAGCCGCGGUAAUACGAAGGGGGCGAGCGUUAUUCGGAAUCACUGGGCGUAAAGCGUGCGUAGGCGGUCUCGUAAGUUAGGAGUGAAAGCCCAGGGCUCAACCUUGGAAUUGCUCUUAAUACUGCAAGGCUAGAAUCUCGGAGAGGAUAGCGGAAUUUCCAGUGUAGCAGUGAAAUGCGUAGAUAUUGGAAGGAACACCAGUGGCGUAAGCGGCUAUCUGGACGAGUAUUGACGCUGAGGCACGAAAGCGUGGGGAUCAAACAGGAUUAGAUACCCCUGUAGUCC